AUGACUGUGAGCACCAACACAGAACACUGUGUAUUCCACAUGGAGACAGCACUGCUCUUCAUCCUCAUCAUGGCAGCAGGUAGGAAUACUGGAAGCCCUAUUGCUCCUGACACUGUAGAGAAGCAUGCUACAGAAGGAGAAAAUGUUCAGCUCUCCUGCAGAUACAAUGGAAGCGCGGACAGUCUGCACUGGUAUCGCCAGUUCUCCCAAACUGUGCCAGAGUUUCUGAUUCUGGAUUACCAAGGCAUUGUCAUGAACGCAACUCGUCCUGUUCCUGGGAUAUCAAUCAAACAUAACAAGGCAGCAAGACAAGUGUUCCUGGAGAUCUCAUCUGCUAAAGUCUCAGACUCUGCUCUUUACUACUGCGCCCUGCAGCCCACAGUGACAGGAAACACAGCUGCGCUCAACAAAAUCUCUCACAGUUUUUAG